CCAGGUACGUGCUUGCUUUGCUGGUGCCUAGAGCUGGUCCUGGGAGAGCACCAGGUAAGGAGACAAGUCUAGUCAGCAUGAGAAGUGGCAGUCAUUAACACCCAAUGCCUAACCCUUGUUGAGUUUUUUGUAAGCAUCACAGCAAAGUCUUUAGGAGGUAUUAGCAAGAGAACAAUGAGGUGGUUUUGCAGCUGUUUAUGGGUAGGUCCUCCUGUGCAUAAGAGGCUGCUUGGAAGAAAUACCGUAGAAUAUAGAAAUCCUUCAAUACGAGAAUGUGACUCAAAAGUGCAAAUGCUGUUGGAGUGGUGAUCAAUUGCCUUGCUCAAAACUAAAGUUAAUGUCAAAGACCACAGUAGAUAUAAAUAAUCACAAGAUAGCAAAUAGACCAAAAAAACCAACAUCAGGUGAGCGUUAGAUCUGCAUCUUCCAAAGCUAAAUAAAAAUGGCUCUGAUUUUGUGGAAAGUCACUUAGACGGCUUGGGGCAAGUAUGUCCCACUCACACACAACUGAAGCACGCAAACAUGAAAUACUCGUAUACAGCAGAGGACUUUUCAGCAUUUUAUUUUUAUUUUGCAAAGGUAAAUCUAUAUAUUCUUUGUAGCCUUCCUAAUCCCAUUUCCUGCAUCUCUUCUUAAACCUCCUCUUCUCACCGCUGUGUCCCCCCACAAGUACAUCUCGUGCAAACAUUUUGUUGCAAACUCGAAAAUUUUUCAAGAAAAUAGCACUUCCCCCCCAAACCAAACUGGCAUGUUCCUGGGGGAAAAUUUUAUAAGCAAAGAUGGCUUUUACAAUCCAAACCUGCAAAAAUGUGCACUUUUGGGAUUUUUUGGUGCAAGAACAGUCAUUUUCUCAAAAUCAUGCUAAAGUGAGAUAUGUGUAUGUGAAAUGGAAAGGAGUACUUGUGGCACCUUAGAGACUAACAAAUUUAUUUGAGCUUAUGCAAAUUUUUUUUUUAUUUUUAUUUUUGCGAAUACAGACUAACACGGCUGCUUCUCUGAAACCUGUGUAUGUGAAAUGAUACUGUGCAAAAUGGAAGUAUUUUCCAUGUGGAAUUCAGACAAAUAAAACCCACUGAUAUUGCAUUGUUCCAUCCCUUUCUCACUCUGCCUUCCCUUCAGUGUGUCCCCUCUUCCAGUUGCAGCCCUUCCUCUGAAAAUCCUGGUCUACUCCACAUCCAAACAAUGAGCUAUUCUGCUCUCUUCUCACUUUGCCUCCCCUUCCUAGCUUUUCCACCUUUACCCAUUCUGACACCCCCUCAAAGGCCCAUCUGUCCCUGGGAAUUUCCCCACCCUAGCCAGAACUUGUGCAUUUAUCAGGAAAAGUUAAUUUGACACCAAUUAUUAACUCUGCUGUGAGACUUCAAUAAAUUCAUCAGUCAGUGGUAAAGGAUAAUUAUGUGGCUUGUAUGUAUUUCCAGUUAUCAUGAUAUUACUGUUCUUUUUAAUUAUGUGCAGAAUCCUUUUAAGAGAGUAAUGAGGAAGGGCAACUUGCUUCGCCUACCCAAUAGUAACCCAGUUAUCCCACCUGAGCAGGCUAAGAGAGAUGGCCCAGAUUGCCAGUACUGAACCUUCUCAGGUUCUGCUGCGUGUUAGUGCUUUCAGUGAAAUUGAAAAUGUCAUGAUUAGGCUUCAGAGAAGUCUUUUAACUGCUGCUGCACAUUGGGAAAACUUCUCCAUUGAAUUAUCCAUGAGGACUUCUGAUCUUUUUUCCUCAGAGGAUCCUGCUAGUUCAGAGGCAGUACGUAUCGAUAAGAAAUCUAACUAUAUUUGUCAGUGUGCAUAACUUUUAAUCUGCCCUUGUGCUGUCCAAUCUACUUUAGUUUUGAUGAAUAAAAACAGUGGU